rfam:Triticum aestivum genome assembly, contig: Triticum_aestivum_CS42_TGACv1_scaffold_000733_1AL
CAAGUACUCCCUCCGUUUCGAAUUACUUAUCACAAGUAUGGAUGUAUCUAGAUGUAUUUUAGUUCUAGAUACAUCCAUUUCUGCGACGAGUAAUUUGGAACAGAGUGAGUAGUAG